ensembl:lincRNA Gm15389 predicted gene 15389
AGCCUCUCCUAGGCCUAUGUAAGCAUCAACAGUUCUGGGCUUGGGGUCUCUUCGCCUCUGCAAUCAAGCUCUACAAUAAAUGUGUGCAGAAAAAUCCUGUUGCAGCAUCGUUCUUGCUGGCGAGUCGGGCACGCACAAGAAGUGGUGCCGAAACCCGGGAAAAGAAACAUCUUCAGGUACAAGCGAAGACCCCCUGCUACAGGGAGGAUUCAGAACUGCAUCACAGGGAAGGAGCGGUUAAUAAAGUGUUCCCGUAAAACAGACUGCUGAGAAGGAUCCUGCGUGGAUUCAGAACUCGUCAGCUAGGGAAUGGUGGUACCGAAGCAAUUAUGGAACAAAUGCCAAAAAGAAGAACCUCACUCAGAAGGUCAAGAGGCAACUACUACAGAUGGAGAUAUGACCUCAGCAGCAUGAGUUGCCUUCAUGUUGAGAGAUGGAGCCCACUGACCUGGACGCCUGCCACUGAAGGAGACGAGCCCGCAACCCAGAAUGAGCUCCAAAAGCAGAAGAACAUGUCUCAAACCUUGCCUGAUGCACUGCCAUCCAGCCAGGCUACGACAUUGGUCCAGAUUGGAGGGUAGUGAAGUGUGGGUGUGUGAACAAAUGAUAUCCCACUUCGCUAUUUGUUUAUUGCUACUUAUGAAUAAAUAAGUGUCAUAAUCUGA